GUCUAUGGCCAUACCACCCUGAACACACCUGAUCUCGUCUGAUCUUGGAAGCUAAGCAGGGUUGGGCCUGGUUAGUACUUGUAUGGGAGACCACCGGGGAAUACUAGGUGCUGUAGGCU
rnacentral:rRNA from 3 species